GGCGCAUGAGCGACGCGCAACACGCUUAACUUCCACUAUGAAAUAAUAUAUUGUCUCGCGGAAUUCAUAGAAAAGGUUUUGCCUAAAGGAAAUGCGAGAAGGAAGCAAAACAGCUGAGCUGGUUGUACCAAGGCAAGCAGUAUAAACUCAACCAAGUCGAAAGAGGACAACAACUGCACCAAAGAUAAGAUAAGGAAACAGCUAGAUCCUGAUGUUAUGGGAGGAGGUCAGAGCACACCACCUCAGGCUGUUGUAACGACCUGCAAUGUGAGAGAAAGCUUACAGCGGCCAGCUGAACCGACUAAACCUCAAAAACCAAUACCAGUGGAUGCUGAUGUCAAUAAGUGUCCCACCUGUUCCUCAGUCCUACACAUUGUCCAGGGAACAGACUGGCAGGCCAGUCCAGUGGCUCAGUGUACCAAGUGCCCUGGCAAGCCCCACCUCUGUGCCACCUGCCUCUCUCCCUGGCAAGGCCCUCCUGGGGUGCUGGGCCGCUGUGCCAACAAGAGGUGUGCAGUGGUGGGAACCCUCCUCACCUGUGGACUGGUCACCGACCCAAACAGCAAAGUAAAGGGCUGUCCAGAGUUCCGCGCUUGUCCCAAAUGCUACAGUCUACUCAUGCACAGCCGUGGCUGCAAGUAUGUCGCCUGUUCCCAGUGUAGCCAUACAUUCUGCUACAUCUGCCUGAGUGACAGUAAAAAGUGCAGGAAGGACAAGGACUUGUAUUUUUCACUUACCUGCUCUAAGCCAACAGCUGGACGACAGUGGUUCAGUACUUAAAGGACAACUGACUGUCCCCAUAUUAGACCCAUGAAAGCCUCACUGGUGUUUUCAUCUUCUGUCAGUAUUGGAUGCAAUGAACAUAAUAUGCAAGUUCAAUUACUCCGUUGUCUGAUUGAAGGAUGUUAUUCCGAAAACCUUCCUCAAUAACCAGACCUGCGUAACUGUAUUUAAAUACAAUUACAAUUUAGAUGGGUGUAAAAAUACAGUUACACUGAUAUAUUUAAGGGAUUACAUUUUAAAUCACCCACCUUGUUCUUUGGGGCCUGACCUGUUCCUCAGUCCUGCAGCCUGUCCAGGGCACAGAUAGGCAGUCCAGUCCGGAGGUGUAGUGUUCAUCAACCCCAUCAACUGCGGGAGCUGCCCCUCUCCCUGGCCAGGCCCUGCUUUCACUUCAGCCCCAGAUAGUUAGCGUGGCCAUCAGACAAGGCUGUUGGGCAUGGUGGCCUGUCACUGAACAUGCCUCACUUUAGCGUGUCACUAUAGGGUACAGAAGAAUCAGGAUAGAACUAGAUGUCCUCUAAAUUAUGCUGAACCCUAGCCUGAUAUCAUACUCAAAAUUCACUGACAUUGCUAAAUUGGGCUGUGAUUAUGGGCCAUGUUUCAACCGACCCAGGAAAAAAAAAAGCCUCUUCACUCAAUUGGAGAGACCUACAACCAAGCAGAGCAGCAUCAUUGUUGUAAACGAAUUCAACCCAAGCGCUCGUUGGUGACAUGCUUGAUUACAUUACUGUUGAUCACCUGACCAUCUUCGUAUAACGCCCGCCCUGAAAAUGUGACUUUGGUCCGAACAGCUCUGAUUCAAGAAUAGUAGAGCCACCACAGAGCAAUGCCAGACCAAACUUCCCAAAUGUUGUGGGCAGGGCUAAGUUCGGCUGGCACCCAGGCUAGCUAAAACCAGGAGCACCAUGGAACCCAUCUUACCUUAUCUGAAGCCUGAAGAUGCAUGUAUAUCUACUAAAUAAAGCACUGUAAAACUACACUGUAUGUUUUGUGGACUACCACUACUGAUGACACCACUAACAAAGGUAUGUUCAUGCAUUCCUUUCAGAGGUCUUCAUCAGAGUGUGUCGGCAAAAUCAAAAGUGAGGAAGUCGACAGAUACACUGUAGGUGUUCAUGACGCAUUGCCCUUGACUUGUAUCAUGAUUUAUUAUUUCUUUAUAAAUCAAUUAUGUUUAUCAUUGAGGGCCUGACUAUGACCACCUGUAACAUCUGUAGCACAUAUUACAUAGAAAUAAAUCUCUCCAAACUCUCGCGCACACAAACACUCACAGCUAGGGAGGGACUUCCCAGCAUUGCUUCAGCACAGCUUUUACUUUCAUUUUACAUACAAUACUCUAAGCUUUGUUACGGUGUCUUACGGAAUGUGGCUGUAAACUAAAUAAACUUGAAAAACUGCAAGAACAACCCAUCUCAGAGUAUAGAGCUGGUAGCCUACCAAAACAGCAAACCAGACAAAUGACAACAACUGCCUCAAACAAAAGCAGAAGUAACAGUUUGACCGAGACGCUAUGGAAACAGCCAACUGAGCAGACUAAACCUUAAGCACCAAUUAUCAAUGGACCCUGUUGCCAAAAAGUGUCCCACCUGUUCUUCAGUCCUGCGCAUGGUCUUCAUCCAGGGAACACACUGGCAGGCCAGUCCAGUGGCUCAGUGUACCAUCUGCCCCACCAAGCCCUACCUCUGUGCCACCUGCCUCUAUCCCUGGCAAGGCCCUCCUGGGGUGCUGGGCCGCUGUACCAACAAGAGGUGUGCAGUGGUGGGAACCCUCCUCACCUGUGGGCUGGUCACCGACCCAAACAGUCCAGUAAAGGGCUGUCCAGAGUUCCGCGCUUGUCUCAAAUGCUACAGUCUACUCAUGCACAACAACAAAGGCUGCAAAUAUGUCACCUGCCUGCAGUGUGGCCAUGGUUUCUGCUACUUCUGCUUGAAAAUACCUUGUGAACAUCACAAUAAACCAGCUGCGCGACAGCGAUUUAUAUAUAAGUAGGAACUGACACCUUCCAUAUAUACUAUAUUCUCAAAAACAGCCACUGGCCUCACAAUUAUUUGCAUAUUAAUCUGCUAUUGGUGAUUAGGACAGUCAAUCAACUAAUGGACAUUUACUUUUUAGAGGAUUUGUACACCUAGAUGUCCAACAAGCAGAUCUGAAUACAAUGCCAAAUGUAGAAACAUAUUGAUAAACCAGGGACCAUAUGAUCUGAUAUCAAGGCAUUUGUUUCAAAUAAUGUCAAGUCAAGGCAAGUCAAGUUUAUUUAUAUAGCACAUUUCAUACACAGAGGUCAUUCAAUGUGCUUUACAUAAACAAAAACCGUAAAACAGUAAUAGCAGUAAUAGUAAUAAGUCAUCCUUUAUCCUUUAUCAUCCUUUAUCAUCCUUUACAAAUCCACAUCAGUCUAAAAGGAUUCACUGUAGGCCUAAAUGAUUCAUGGUGAUACAUGCCAACAUGAGAAGCAAUUAAAGAAAAUGUUAUCAAGAAACAUAUGACUGCCCACACAAUCAGACUUCAUAUUGAAAUGUAGUUGCUAUUUACAGUAAUAACUGCCUGAACC